UACAGAGGUCUCAAGCGUUGUUCGGAUUCAUUGGGCGUAAAGGGUGCGUAGGCGGCGCGGUAAGUCGGGUGUGAAAUCUCGGGGCUUAACUCCGAAACUGCAUUCGAUACUGCCGUGCUUGAGGACUGGAGAGGAGACUGGAAUUCAUGGUGUAGCAGUGAAAAUGCGUAGAGAUCAUGAGGAAGACCAGUGGCGAAGGCGGGUCUCUGGACAGUUCCUGACACUGAGACACGAAGGCCAGGGGAGCAAAACGGG
rnacentral:rRNA from 1 species